UACGUAGGGUGCGAGCGUUAAUCGGAAUUACUGGGCGUAAAGGGUGCGCAGGCGGUUAUAUAAGACAGAUGUGAAAUCCCCGGGCUCAACCUGGGAACUGCGUUUGUGACUGUAUGACUAGAGUACGGUAGAGAGGGGUGGAAUUCCUGGUGUAGCAGUGAAAUGCGUAGAUAUCAGGAGGAACACCAGUGGCGAAGGCGGCUUUCUGGGACGGUAACUGACGCUGAGACGCGAAAGCGUGGGGGAGCAAACAGG
rnacentral:rRNA from 1 species